GUUCUUCCGUCUGUGCACAAAAAAGGGCGAGAAUCAAAGGCCAUCCUCAACACCGACCCAGAAAACGCUCGGCCAUUAGCUGGAAAUGGGGAAGCAGAAGGAAAGUACUGCUAUGGAAAUCGAGGAUCAGAGUUCUAUUCCUUCUGACCAGAUCAGUAACCUUAAGUUCUCUGUCAAUGUGUUACAGCUUUUAAAAUCUGCUCAAAUGCAG
rnacentral:misc_RNA from 1 species